rnacentral:lncRNA from 1 species
AACAGCCAUGUUGCUCACACAAAGCCUGUUUGGUGAUCUCUUCACAUGGAUGCACAUGAAAUUUGGUGCUGUGACUCAGAUCGGGGGACCUCCCUUGGGAGAUCAAUCCCCUGUACUCCUGUUCUUUGCUCCAUGACAAAGAUCCACCUAUGACCUCAGGUCCUCAGACCGACCAGCCCAAGGAACAUCUCACCAAUUGUAAAUCAGGUGAAGUAUGAAGUUAUGAGGAGAAAGGAACAGAGGACAACCACACAGAGAAAGUGUAGCUUUAUCUACUAGAGCUGAAGACAUUCAAAUUUAUGAUCCAACAAUUCUACUCUGAAGUGCAGUGGUGUAUAUACUGCAACAAUGUGUACUCAUGUGCCCUGAGAACUAGAUAUGAAAAAACCUUACAGCAAUAUGCAUAAUAGUAAAAAAAAAAAAAAAAAACUGGAAACAACAAAAAUGUUCAUUGACCAUAUACAAUGAUAAAUGUGGUAUACUCGUAGCAUGGAAAACUACACAACAUUGAAAAUGAACAAACUAAAACUGUACACAGCAACAUGAACGAAUUCCACAGAUAAUAUUGAGUGAAAGAUACCAGACACCAAAUAAUAUCCCAUAUGAUUUCAUUUACAUUAAAUGUUUUUUUUUUGAGAUGGAGUCUCGCUCUGUUGCCCAGGCUGGAGUGCAGUGGCACAAUCUUGGCUCACUGCAACCUCUGCUUUUCAGGUUCAAGCUAUUCUCCCACUUCAGCCUCCCCAGUAGCUGGGACUACAGGUACCUGCCACCACGCCCAACUAAGUUUUGUGUUUUCAGUAGAUAUGGGGGUUUCACCAUGUUGGCCAGGCUGGUCUUGAACUCCUGGCCUCAAGUGAUCUGCCCACCACGGCCUUCCAAAGUGCUGGGAUUACAGGUGUGAGCCACCGUGCCCGGCCUCAUUUAUAUUAAAUUUAACACAGGCAGACUAAUCCAUUAUGCUAGAAGUCAGGAGAGUGGUUACUUUGAGGAAGAGAGGACUGACUGAUCAGGCUUGAGGGGAUUCUAAAGUGGUGGCAGGGUUUGGUUUCUUGACCAAUAUUACUGAUAUUCAUUAUGGAGCUCCUUAAACACUUUAAAUUUUACUUGUGUAAUGGGAUUAUGUCUACUUCAAGCGGUUAUUGUAAGGAUUAAAUAACAAUGUAUGUAAAGUGCUGUGCAGUGUACCAUGUCUAAUAAAUACUCCAACAGCUGUAAUUGUCAUUGCUAUCAAUAUCACUGUUAAGCUGUAUAUAUAAUAAGUUUUGAAAACUUACAUAGUUAACCAUAUUCAAUCUCCAUUUUGUGUUAGACAGUUCUCAAACCCUGAGGUGCUUUCCUGGAAACAGUCCUAUUGAAAGCAGCUGCUCCAUUAUUGUAAGGAUGUUGUUGAGGGUAUUGGUGUUAUAGCACAUUUGUUCUCUUGGGAAGGACCUACCGAAGAAAUAUCUUUCUGAUCUCAAUUUGAAAUUAAUUGUACUCUCCUGAGCAACAGAUUUUGAUUAUUGUCCAAGUUUAAUAUUACACACAUUGUGAAUCCUGUAGGGAAAUGUAUCUUUCUUCUUGGCUUUCUAUUUGGAUACUGAAAAUCUUAGAAUCAAAUCUGUGCUCUAGCUUUAUCAAAUGUAUAUAGACUUACACCAUGCAUUUUCUGGAUAAACUGCGUUUUCCUUAUUUACUUGUUUUUGUUUGUUUUUGUCUCAUGUUUAUGUAAGCUACCUUAAAUUCUUUUGGGAGCAAGCAGAAGGCUUAAGCACAUAAACGAAAAACAAAUAAAUGACAUCAUGUUGGAUUUAGUUAUGGAAAUAUCUGCCAAGACAGUAGUAUUCACCAAGUUGAAACUCUUAAAAAAUGUGCUGAAUAAAUGAAUACAUGAGCGAUUUGGCAUUUGGGGAUGGCUCCAUUAAAAACAAAAUAGAACUUGAGCAAAACUUUGGAAAAAUUGAAGCCUGUGUAAUGAAUAAGGGACUGGGGCAUAUUGAAAAUGAUAGUAUAAAAUGGAGUGAAAUCAGCAUGGCACUGUGAUCCACAGAACAUCCUAUUCAGAGUACAGAAGUGUUGGCGAUAGACGUCAAUUGAUGACUGUGAUGGGGGACACUUUCUUCUUCACAAUAAAAUGAAGAAGGGACAAAUCCAAGUAGAAAAAUUAAUAGCCUUAGUAACAAAUUACACAGAAAGUGCAGAAAAGGAGAAAUCAGGAGUCUUUUCAAGAUUGUUUUUGGCUUAACAUAGAAAUGAAAAUUUGAGGGACAGCCAACUAAAGAAGCCAUACUCAAACAGCUCAUGAGACACAGUUACAAGUCCAGGCAAUUAAUUUCUUCAUUGUAAAUCACAAAUUUAGAAUUUGUGAAUUCUGAUGAUGUAGUUUUGUAUUUCGUACAUUAAUAAAUCAGUGGAAUGUAAUAUUUCUCCUUUGGGAUUGAUUGCAAGCAAAGGUCAGUUAGGACUUGAACAAUGGAUGGAGCAGAAGGGAUAAAAAAUUGCAUCAUUUUAUCAUGGUUUUAGUACUUUUAUAACAAAACAUAAAUGCAUGGUUUGUAUCAACAAAUGAAUAAAAGAAUUGUAAAAAGGUC